GGACGGCCUCGGGGGUUGUAAACCGCUUUUCUCAGGGAAGAAGAUCUGACGGUACCUGAGGAAUCAGCAUCGGCUAACUCCGUGCCAGCAGCCGCGGUAAUACGGAGGAUGCAAGCGUUAUCCGGAUUUAUUGGGCGUAAAGCGUCCGCAGGCGGCUAAUCAAGUCUGCUGUUAAAGGCCGAGGCUUAACUUCGGUUGAGCAGUGGAAACUGAUUAGCUAGAGUGCGAUAGGGGUAGAGGGAAUUCCCAGUGUAGCGGUGAAAUGCGUAGAGAUCAGGAAGAACACCGGUGGCGAAGGCGCUCUACUAGACCGCAACUGACACUGAGGGACGAAAGCUAGGGGAGCGAAUGGGAUUAGAUACCCCAGUAGUC
rnacentral:rRNA from 1 species